GACGUAGGGCGCGAGCGUUGUCCGGAUUUAUUGGGCGUAAAGAGCUCGUAGGCGGCUUGUCGCGUCGAAUGUGAAAUCUCAGGGCUCAACUCUGACAUUGCAUUCGAUACGGGCAGACUAGAGUGCGGUAGGGGAGACUGGAAUUCCUGGUGUAGCGGUGAAAUGCGCAGAUAUCAGGAGGAACACCGGUGGCGAAGGCGGGUCUCUGGGCCGUAACUGACGCUGAGGAGCGAAAGCGUGGGGAGCGAACAGG
rnacentral:rRNA from 1 species